GGAACCAAGUCCUGCAGUGAAAAGCAGUUUGGGGAAAAUGCAGAAGACAUUUGGGAAUGAAAGCGUCUGUUGGUGAAGAUCUGAAUCUUACUUUAUGGAAAGGAGGUUAAUUUUCCUCAUACUUACGACUUUGACACUUACACAUCUUUCAGCUAUUUCAGACAUCUAUUCCUGUUAAAGGAUGCACUGGCCCUAUUUUUGGAAGCCGGAUGACGCAGACGAAAGGUAAUGCAGUAGGGAACCUUUGGCCCCUCUUAAAUCACUGACUCAAAUCAUCACCAGAUUACCAGCAAUCCAAAUAAGUACAGUCUAAUGAUGCCCACAAACAUACCAGUAGGCAAUUAUACUCUUUUUUGAUGUUUCAAUAGUGUUUACGUAGUCGUAAACACUGUUUUUCAGGAAACAUAGUUUUAGAUAUUUUUACAGACAUUAUCUCCACUACUUUUUGCAAUAAUGCUGAACAGUUCAGGUAAGUUAAUUUCCCAAACAUCUAGAAAGUGCCUGUUUAAAUAUUUGAAUCCGAGUCUGUAAGCCAAAAGCUGUAAUCUUUCCACCAUAACACUGUUUAUUGGAGGGAAGAUAUCCAAUUCUGGUGUUCUUGUCCCUUUGACAUUUAGUGCCCCCUUUUCCCUCCCCUGCACUAGCCAGGAAUAGUGAUGGAAAGCAGGCAUAACCCUCCACAACUGGUUACUUUAGUAAAGAAUUUAUUAUGUGGAAGCAUCAUAAAAUUUUGUUCUUAGACUUUUUUUCUAGAUCAUGCCUUCAGCAAGGAUCUUUGAUCUUCUACAAGCGUGGCACCCAUUCAUUAUUUUAUUUAUAUGACCUCCUUCUCAACAUUCCUCUUCACACAUACUCUGUGAACAACUCUGUUAUUCCAUAAGAAUUGCCUGAGUCUUCACAGAAAGAUUUCGAGUUAAGCAGAGAUGGCAAACUGUUCCAGGAAAGUUCUCAUCACUUUGUCUCUGGAAUAUUGAUUCCCCCUUGUCACUUGCUAAAGAGCCAGGUUUCUUGAGAGAGUCUGAGCAGGCAACUGCAGUUAGAAAUUAGUGCAGAUAUCAUUUUAAGGUAAUUUGAAUAUCCUUGUAAAGGAGAAGUUGUCCAGGUAGAUCACUGUCUUGGGAGAAGGAAAAUAAAAUGAUAGUCACGUGGGAAAGAGGCA
rnacentral:lncRNA from 1 species